GACUAACGCUCGCGGUGUGCUUAACACAUGCCAGUCUAACGAUAAGGCCCUUUCGGGCUUACUCGAGGGGCGAACGCGUGAGUAGUACGUGUGUAACCUGCCCUCAUAUCUGGGAUAACAGUCGGCAACGGUGGCAAAUACUUGAUAUCAGCUUGCAAGGCAUCUUUUUGGCUGGAAAGAAUUGUUUUGGUGGGGGAUGGACCAGCGGUCUAUCAUCUUGUUGGAGUGGUAGUGGCUCACCAAGGCUUCGACGGGUAGCAGCCCUGAGAGGGCGACCGGUCACAUUGGGAAUGAGAUACGACCCAAACUCCUACGGGAGGCAGCAGUGGGGAAGAGUGCACAAUGGACGGAAGUCUGAUGCAGCAACGCCGCGUGCGGGAUGACGGAGUACGGGUUGUAAACCGCUUUCAAAUGGGACGAAGCUUUGUUGUGACGGUAGCAGUAGAAGAAGCACCGGCUAACUACGUG
rnacentral:rRNA from 1 species